AGUGAACGCUGGCGGCGUGCCUAAUACAUGCAAGUCGAACGGAGGUUCAGUAGCUUGCUAUUUAAUCUUAGUGGCGCACGGGUGAGUAAUAUAUAGCUAACUUGCCCAUUACUAAGGGACAACAGUUGGAAACGACUGCUAAUACCUUAUACUCCGUAUCUAUAUAAGUAGAUACGGGAAAGUUUUUCGGUAAUGGAUAGGGCUAUAUCGUAUCAGCUAGUUGGUAAGGUAAUGGCUUACCAAGGCUAUGACGCGUAACUGGUCUGAGAGGAUGAUCAGUCACACUGGAACUGAGACACGGUCCAGACUCCUACGGGAGGCAGCAGUAGGGAAUAUUGCUCAAUGGGGGAAACCCUGAAGCAGCAACGCCGCGUGGAGGAUGACACUUUUCGGAGCGUAAACUCCUUUUCUUGGGAAAGAAUUAUGACGGUACCCAAGGAAUAAGCACCGGCUAACUCCGUG
rnacentral:rRNA from 1 species